UACGUAGGGUGCAAGCGUUGUCCGGAAUUAUUGGGCGUAAAGAGCUCGUAGGCGGUUUGUCGCGUCUGCUGUGAAAACUCGGGGCUUAACCCCGGGCCUGCAGUGGGUACGGGCAGACUAGAGUGCGGUAGGGGAGAUCGGAAUUCCUGGUGUAGCGGUGAAAUGCGCAGAUAUCAGGAGGAACACCGGUGGCGAAGGCGGGAUCCUGGGCCAGUACUGACGCUGAGGAGCGAAAAGCGUGGGGAGCAAACAGG
rnacentral:rRNA from 1 species